GAUGAACGCUGACAGAAUGCUUAACACAUGCAAGUCAACUUGAAUUUGGGUUUUUAACUUAGAUUUGGGUGGCGGACGGGUGAGUAACGCGUAAAGAACUUGCCUCACAGCUAGGGACAACAUUUAGAAAUGAAUGCUAAUACCUGAUAUUAUGAUUUUAAGGCAUCUUAGAAUUAUGAAAGCUAUAUGCGCUGUGAGAGAGCUUUGCGUCCCAUUAGCUAGUUGGAGAGGUAACAGCUCACCAAGGCGAUGAUGGGUAGCCGGUCUGAGAGGGUGAACGGCCGCAAGGGGACUGAGACACGGCCCUUACUCCUACGGGAGGCAGCAGUGGGGAAUAUUGGACAAUGGACCGAGAGUCUGAUCCAGCAAUUCUGUGUGCACGAUGAAGUUUUUCGGAAUGUAAAGUGCUUUCAGUUGGGAAGAAAAAAUGACGGUACCAACAGAAGAAGUGACGGCUAAAUACGUGCCAGCAGCCGCGGUAAUACGUAUGUCACGAGCGUUAUCCGGAUUUAUUGGGCGUAAAGCGCGUCUAGGUGGUUAUGUAAGUCUGAUGUGAAAAUGCAGGGCUCAACUCUGUAUUGCGUUGGAAACUGUAUAACUAGAGUACUGGAGAGGUAAGCGGAACUACAAGUGUAGAGGUGAAAUUCGUAGAUAUUUGUAGGAAUACCGAUGGGGAAGCCAGCUUACUGGACAGAUACUGACGCUAAAGCGCGAAAGCGUG
rnacentral:rRNA from 1 species